AAAUUUGUAAUUCUUUGCUUUAACUACUUUUUGGGUGGUGUAUAAAGAGAGGAAUAUAGAGCACAUGGGAGGCACAUGGGCAUAUCUCUAUGGUUCAUCAUCACCCGAACUGUGCCCAACUCAAGAGAAUGCAUAGGGUAAUAUUAGGUUCAAUAGACUCCUCAAGGAAAUUUUUCAUGUGUGAUAUUUCUUUGUCCAACUGCAGCUACAUAUUUCUUGUGAAAGUCCUCAAGUCUGGUGAUAUUAGUAAGUUAACCAACACCUACAAAUUCAACACGGUUUGUAACAGCAUCCCUUCUAAACCAAAAUAAUCUGUGACAACUUUGAGUUGGGAUAAACUUCUUAUGGCGGUUGAAGAAAAGACUUUUGACUCCAUUCCCUUCAAGUUUCGCCUGGGAGGAUUGCAUUUGAUCUGGAGUUGACAAACUUGUGCAGGCUGCAAAUUGCUCACACUUUCGUGGAUAAUCAUCCACUGAACCCACUUGGAAAACUUUAACCAAUUUUGGCUAUGUCUUUUUGCACUCAUUGCUUCUGUAACAAAACAUCUCCUUUGACUUCAGAAACAUGUGUAGACUGUGUGGCUCUCUUCCGAUCCACCCAGUACCAUUUUAGAAAAUUCUCAAAUUGAUGUUGAAGAGAUUGUAGAUCACUCAUAACAAUAGGAUCUGAUACCAAAUGUUGUAGUCCCUACUUAGGAUCUUGAUAUGGGAUUUCAAUUAGUAGUAUAGGCUCAUGAAGAGACAAACCAAAAACCUCCUAAAGUUUAAGGUACUCCAAAUAAUUAUCGACAAUUAUCUGUAUAUCUUUUAUCCAGAUUGCUAUCAUGUCUUUAUACAAGAAACCACAACUGCUCCUAAGAACAAUUACUUCCCUGCUUAGAGGUGACAAUUCCCACAUCCUAAUAACAACUUAUCUUAAUAACUAAUUAUAUCAUUAAACAAAACUAGAUAGCUGGAUAAGAUAAUCUCUUCUAGCAGCCAUGUGUCGUUCCAACUAAUUAUAUCAUUAAAUAAAACUAGAUAACUGGAUGAGAUAAUCUCUUCUAGCAGCCAUGUUUCGUUCCAACAACCAUCUUUCGCUCAUCCCUAAAAAAAUUUGUCACUUGGUCCAGAAGCAAUGUAUUGAUCACUCCUGGUGGCCAUGUGGCUCAUAAUGCUCGCCUAGUUGGUAUAAAAACUGCAAGACCCAUGGCAGGCAUAAGGAAUCCAAACAGCAAAACACUACACCAGAUUUUACCUAAUUAUUUCCUAUUUAGCAUACAAGCUAAUUCAGACCUAUUACUAGAAUAAGUUUCCCAGUUUUCGUAUUUUGUUUAGUUAGAAUAAUUUUGUUCCCAGGAAUUCGAAAAUCCUUUUCCAAUUUUGUCUGGUUCAUAUUUCUUAGCGUCUCCACCAACAAAUAUUUAUUGGACUCAAAUGAAUAAAGCAUUCAAAUAUUUUAUAAAAAUUAGAGUAUUCUACAAAGAGCAUGCAUUUUCUGUAAUGGGGCCUAAACAUGGGUAGAAAUGACCGAAACUCAUACAAACAAGCUGUCAGCUUGCUGCAAGGAUCAGUUUGCAUAAACCUGUGACUAGCUCCCAAACCCGGACCCCAUUGCUAGAUUCCAAUUUUUAAAGAUGCUAAAUAUAAUGAGAACACUGAGGAACUACCCAGACUCUCUGGAAUUCUUCCCAAGUUCCUCUCAUCUUCUUAAUUUUUUCUCUAUAUUUCUUCCUUCUUCUCUACUGUUUCAAUUACUAAUUCCUGAGCUAGGGUUUGUUCUGGAGGAUCUUCACAAGAAAGUUCUUAAAAAUAGUAAUUUCAAUAUCAUAAAAGAAAAGGAAAAGAAA
rnacentral:lncRNA from 1 species